rnacentral:rRNA from 1 species
UGGUGGAGUGAUUUGUCUGGUUAAUUCCGUUAACGAACGAGACCUCGACCUGCUAAAUAGUUGACUAAACUCUUCGGGGUUUGGAUUGACUUCUUAGAGGGACUUUUGGUGAGUAGCCAAAGGAAGUUCGAGGCAAUAACA